rnacentral:lncRNA from 1 species
GAGCUGCCUGAGCCACUCAUGACUUUUGCCCAGUAUGGAGACUUCCUCAGGGCUGUUGGUGAGCCAUGGAGGAAGGGAUGGAGCUACCCUGCUCCAGCUGGGCCUGCAGUUUGGGUUGGGUUUGUUCCCAUCUGUACCUAGACCCCGCAUGGAGGGCUUCUGUGCAACCCAAACGCCUAGGGAAGAAGGGCUGGGCAUAGCUAGUGCCGCCCAGAACUGAUGGCCCUGGCUUCCCCAGAGCUUCCAGAGAAGCAGGAGCAGCUGGCUGCCAUCUAUGCAGUCCUGGACCACCUGCCUGAAGCCAACCACACCUCCCUGGAGAGGCUCAUCUUCCACCUUGUCAAGCAAGUACCCCUCCCCCAGGAGCUGAGAGGGCUGAGGGGUCAGAGAGGGGUGCCACCUAACUGUUGACUCUGCAG